UACAGAGGGUGCGAGCGUUGUCCGGAAUCACUGGGCGUAAAGGGCGCGUAGGUGGCGGGGUAAGUCGGAUGUGAAAUCCCGGGGCUCAACCCCGGAACUGCAUUCGAAACUGCCUUGCUCGAGUACUGGAGAGGAGACUGGAAUUUACGGUGUAGCAGUGAAAUGCGUAGAUAUCGUAAGGAAGACCAGUGGCGAAGGCGAGUCUCCGGGCAGUAACUGACGCUGAGGAGCGAAAGCGUGGGGAGCGAACAGG
rnacentral:rRNA from 1 species